CCUUUUCUUUCGGGCCUGGAGCGCAAGCACUGCAGAAGAGAGGGAUGAAUGAAGGGCGAAUGCGGAGGGAAGGAGGCGACCAAGCUCUCAGGUCAUAUGUCACUGAUGCAGGAGAAACUUCCUUGAUUCCUGGUCAAGUCCUCCUGAUGUACAUCCUCAGAGCUUCCUUUAUUUUACUUCAAGGGAAGUAGGUAUUCCUGUGAGCACAGUUGGUAUUUUCAAGGAGCUCAGCAGAUCUUGCAUUCAAUUAAGG